UUGACUAUUUUUCUAAGCUAAUGUGGAAAAAUAUAACUUGCUUCUUUUUUUUUUUUUCUUUUCUGAAGGGAGAAAAAAAAGAAAAAUAUGAAAGAUACAUUUAUUUAAUUUACUGAGGAUUGUGAAAAUUAUAUUAAUUGUAUAUGAUGCGAAAUAAUAUAAUUUAAGAUGUUUUUAUAAAGUACUUUUUUAACCCACUCGUCUUGAAACACGGACCAAGGAGUCUAACAAAUGUGCAAGUGUAUAUGAUAAGAAUAAACAUAGUAUAAAAAUUUCUACGCAUAAUUAAUGUAACAAAAAUAUAUGUUUAUUAAUUGUAGAUUUUGUGGGGUUUUAAAUUUUUUUUAUAAAUCCACACAAAUGCAUACAAUACCGGUGAGCAAUUAUGCUUUAUUGAGUAAGAGCAUACUUGUUAGGACCCGAGAGGCUUUGAACUAAACGUGAUGAGAUUGAAGUCAGAGUAAAAUCUGAUGGAGGAUCGAGUUGAUACUGACGUGCAAAUCGUUCAUUUCAAUUGCGUUUAGGGGCGAAAGACUAAUCGAAAAGCCUAUUAGCUGGUUAUUUUCGAAAGAUCUCUCAGGAUCGCUGGAGUUGAUUAUAAUAUAGUUUUACCUGGUAGAAAUAAUGAUUAGAGGAUUCAAGGAGAUGAUAAUUCCUUGACCUAUAUAUAUCGAAAGAUUCAAUAGGUAAAAAAAUGAGGAAAUAACUUUAUUGUAUUUUCAUUCAUAUUUAAAAAUAAGAUAACUCCAAGUUGGCCAUUUUUGGUAAGCAGAACUGGCGAUGAGGGAUGCUCCUAACGCUUGGAUAAGGUGCCUAAAUAUCCGCUCAUUAGAUACCAUUAAAAAGGUGUUGGUUUGUGAUUACAGUAGGACGGUAUUCAUAGAAGUUGAAAUCCGCUAGGAAGUGUGUAACAACUUACCUACCUAAUAAACUCGCCCUGAAAAUGGAUGGCGCUAAAGCGGAUUACCGAUACCAAGCCAUAAAAAAGAAAAAAAAAAAAAAUUCAAUAUUUUUUUUAUUUUUUUAGAUUCUUUUUAUGAGUAGAAAAUCGUGGGGUUUUGUGUUGAAGCGAAAUACGUGAGUUUUCGUGGAACAUCUCCCUAGUGCAGAUCUUGGUGGAAGUAGCAACUAUUCUUAUGAGAACUUUGAAGACUGAAGUGGAGAAGGGUUUUUUGUAAACUAUGUUUGAGCAAAAGUUAGCCGUUCCUAAGAGAUAGCUGAAAAGCGUUAUAAAUUGAGGUUACCUAUUAUAUGAAAAGUAUAGUAGUGUUUUUUCUCUUCUCGAAAGGGAAGCAGGUUGAUAUUCCUGCGCCAUAUGUAAUAAGAACUAAUAAAUAGAGAUGGUAACAUAUAUAUAAAUAAAUGAACUCCUUAACAUAGGCCUUACGCUUGGAGUGCGUUAUCUUUGCACUUUAACUUUAUAUCAAACCUUCGAAAUCGAUUUACUUGUAGAAAAGGUUCGAUGAAUUUACAAUAAGCAAUUUAUUUAUUAUAUGCGUGGACCGGUACACAUGAUAUAUAUAUUAAUGAAUUGUUUUGUAGUAAUAGUAAUUCGUUUGUUGUACGAAUUAUCCAAAGUUGUAUGGACUAUCCAUGAAAAAAGGAGGGAACACUAAAUUAAAUGGGAAUGUAUAAAAUACUAUAAAAGUAUGAAAGAAGAAAAAGUAAAGAAAGGAAAGAAAAAAAAAUAUUAACCUUCAGCUUUUUUUUCUAUUUUUUUUUUCUUUUUUUGCUUUCAUAUAUUUUUAUAGUGUUUUUACAUUAACCAUUUUUUUUUUUAUAUUCUUAAAUUACAAUUAUAAAAAUGAACGUACCAAUAACCGCAUCAGGUCUCCAAGGUUAGUAGCCUCUGGUUAAAUAGAAAAACGUAGGUAAGGGAAGUAAGCAAAUUAGAUCCGUAACUUCGGGAAAAGGAUUGGCUCUGAUAACACAAAAUGAGAAGAAAAAAAUGAAAAGAAAAAAAUGAAAAGAAUUGUGGUUGAAAAUAAAAAUGUUAAGAUGUUUAUUUAUAUAUUUAUAUUAGUUUUUCUUAUAUUUUAAGAUUAAUUAAUUAAUUAUAUAUUUAAUAUGUUAAAAUGUUUUAUAUUUCUUCUUCUACUCUAUUCUAUUCCAUUCUAUUCUAUUCUAUUUUUUUUUUUCUCUUUCUCUUCGAUAUUACAUAUAUUUUGUUAUUAUAAUAAAAAUUAUGUAAUAUUGUUUAGCUGUGUUUAUUCAGAACUGAAACGGACAAGGGGAAUCCGACUGUUUAAUAAAAACAUAGCAUUGUGAAAAGCUAUAACUGGUAUUAACACAAUGUGAUUUCUGCCCAGUGCUUUGAAUGUCAAGUUGAUGAAAAUUUCAAUUAAGCGCAGGUAAACGGCGGGAGUAACUAUUAUGACUCUCUUAAGGUAGCCAAAAAUGUAUGGUCGAUAAAAAGGACCAUCAGGAAUGGAUUAACGAGAUUCCUACUGUCCCUACUUGCGAUCUAGCGAAACCACAACCAAGGGAAAGGGCUUGGUAA
rnacentral:rRNA from 1 species